UUCCCCUCGCUCUCUUCUCCUUCCUCUCUCUGUCCGCGCAUGCCAUGGCCGCACGCACACCCCUCUGAUGCCCGCGCGAGCCCCUCUUCCAUGGCCGCGAGCCCCUCCUCCGAGACCGACUGGCCGCUAUGACCAUUGCCACCUCCAUAGCGAAUCGCAGGCGAUGGGUGGCCAACGCUCCCAGAUCUCUCCGACCUCGAUCCACCGCCAGAUCGAGCAGGCACUCCAAGACUGGCGACGGUCAUGCCCACGCCGAGCCCUAGCCUGAGUCCCCUUCCUGCUCGAUGGCAAACCCCUCCAUGGCGGCCGACGGCGGGGUGCCGUGGGCGGAGCGGGAUGUAGCCGGGCCCCUCAAAUCUCCGGCGGGAGAGCUCGUGCUGUUCCGGCGGCCGCUAGUGAAAAAUGGAUGAUGCUGGCAUGGUGUUCCUUCUCGAUGCUAUUUACAAGUUAGUGCCCUCAGAUCUGCAAAUUAAUUUGACCAUUUGUUCUCCAUGCUAACUUCCGGGGCUUGGUCGCCGACAAGGCCAUCCUUUGCCAGGUUCCCACUGCGAGAGGAGUUCGCCGACAGCCAUAUGCAUCACACCAGGCUAUUCCCUGAGGUUCAUGGGAGGCGUGAUAUGACUGACAAGAGUGGGAACAUACUUCCGGGUUAGCAAAUACACUGGAACUGUGGUUGACCUCAUGAUUUGCCACCCUAUAGAGUUUGAUUUCUACUUGUGCAGCCAUGCUGGCAUUCAGGGAACUAGCAGGCCAACACACUACCAUGUUCUUUAUGAUGAGAAUCACUUCACAGCCGAUGCGCUUCAGUCACUGACCAACAAUCUCUGCUACACCUAUGCUCGUUGCACUCGUGCGGUCUCUGUUGAUGAAGUCAAGGGAACACCUGAUGAGACUUCGGCUAUUGCAACAACAGAAUGCCCACUUGCAGAGAAGGGAUCCAAAUCAACCGGCUCUUAAUGGUGCUAUGAACUCUGGUGUAUCAGUCAACAUGGCAGCCCCGCAGCAGCAGUUUCAGUCAAGAAACCAGCAAGUUUGAGCAAACAUGGCACCAUCCAUGAGUCUUGCAGCGAAAGGUCUGCUCCCCUUUGGAGCGCUCCCCUCGAGCGGCGUCGCGCAGAGGUCGGUGUCCGUGACCGCCUCACUGGAGCACAAGACGAGCGAUUAUAAGAGGAAGCUCCUGAAGCUUGCGCCCGGAGGAGUCGGCCUGCCCGCCUUGUUGAGUGCCAAGAAGGCUUUCGCUGAUGACCAGGGCGUCUUUUCCUCCAGGAUGUCUUACUUGAGCUGGUUGCCUCCCUGGCCUUACUGCUACUGCUGCUGGUUGCUUCCCCGUCCCCUUCCCCUACAGUGCUAUAUUGCAUCACUGAUCUGCACUGUUUGGUGUGUUUCAUUCCUAUUAUUGUUAUGUUCAACCACAUUGCCAGUGUUCAGAAAUAACACCUACUCAUUAUGCAAAUGCAUGCAACAUAAUCUGAAAUUCAUUCAGUUUGACUGUGCGUAAACACUAUAGUGUACAACUAUCAACUUGUUUCACUAUUCAGUUUGUCACCCAUUCAGCUUACUUACUGGGGCAUCUUUCUUGUGAGAGUUUACUUAAUAGUACAAUAUGUUAGAAGAAACUACCAUGUCUCCAGAAUGAAUCAUCGAUCGCUCUUUAUACACUUACAACUUGAUUUCUUUCAUAUAAGUUCCGUUGCCUUUCUUUAGGUUGAGCUACUGCCCUGUUAAUUAUUGUAACAAACAUUAUCAUUUGCCAGUUUGCUCUGUGUUGAGAACUGACCAAUAAGUUUUGUUUGCCAAUUAGCUUUCUAUGUGCAUGCUCUUAAUCCCCAUAGCACUAAGAUAGGACCUUACUGAGCCUCAUAUUACUAAUUUCUGAAUCAAUCAUUAUUAUUUCUGUCCUCAACAAGUCGCAGCGCUAUGUUCUCUUUUUUGUUCAGUUAGCUCUGUCAAAUAUAAUCAACCUGCCUAUGUUCCAUUUUGCUAUUUGUACUUAGGUAGAAAAAGCUAAAAUCUGUACAUGUAAUUUUUUUCUUCUGUAAUGAUGAUUUGAAAUGCCACGCAAGUCAUUAUUGGUGCUGCUGCUGUUGUUGCUGUGGUUGUUGGAGGUGUUGCUGUUGCAUCUGGCGGAGCUGCCGUUGGGGCCCCAAAAGGUAACCUUCAUCAGCCACAACCCCACAACAAUGCCUCAAGGUUCUGUGCCCCAUCACCCCUCUUUCUAAAUUACUGAAAUGAACCAAGAUCUCAUAUAUUUAGGAACAGAGGUAGUAGUAAGGUUAAAAUAGAACAGCAAGGGAUGUUUCUAAUUUGGUUAUGCUAGAAUAAUGCAUCAACUCGUGGUAUUCUUGGAUGUUACUCUAGGUGUCAAAAUGAUAGUAAAACCUAGGCUCUUGCAUGGUUCUUGAAUUAAUUUUUCUA